CAGGUGAGGUUUUUUCACCUGCAUUUAAUACACGCUCUUACUGGGUAGGUCCAGCUUCCUAAUGCUCAUUAGAUUUGAAUUAUGAGGGAGAGGGAAAGAACAAGAGAGACUGCUGGAUACGUAAUGGAUUAAAGAAAGAUACAAGGAGAGAGGGAGAGAGAGAUUGAGAGAGAGACCGACAGAGCAAAAUAGAAAGAGAGAGGUUGAAAAAGGAGCUGCAGAGUGGAUAUAGUGAAAGUAAAAGGAGUCAGACUAAUUAAAGUCAGUAAGUAUGGAUUCAGAGCAUGGUACCACAGCGACAGCUGACACCAUGGUCCCCGGACGUCAGUGCCAGGAGUCUGGUACCACUGCGACAGCCGACAACAUAGACCCUGGAAGUCAGUGCCAGGAGUCUGCUACCACAGCAACAGCCGACACCAUGGUCCCUGAAAGUCAGUGCAAGGCUGAGGAGGAGGAGAAGGAGGAGGAGGAAGAGGAGGGAUCCGGAAACCAUACGCACCCAGACCCAGACCCAGUCCUGGUGUGGGCCCCCAGUGGGAGACGGCUGCUCUCCGGGCUCCUGGGCCUCAACGUUGUCCUGCUUGGGGCAGCUCUGGUAGCUGGCCAGGCCUUCAACCCUCAGGUUCAAAAAAUAUGAAACAAGGCCAGCACUCUCUUGGGAUAAAAUGUGCAAUUAAGCUUUGUUUUAAUUCUCUCUAAUGAACUCAUAGCAACAUGUCCUAAUAGUCUGUGCACUGGCAUACUGUAUGUUCCAGUUUAAGCAUUCCUCUUUGCAUGUGUGGUCCCUUAACUGAGACUUCAACCCUCAGGGCCUCAGGCACCAGGAGCCCCAGAUCUUCAUGUUGCUGCUGAUGUGUCUCAGCCUGGCCUGGAUGCUGUGGUACCUACUCUGGGUCAGGAGGAAACCUGGGAUUAGCCCACAUAAAGACCACCAUGCUGGGGGAAUCACCGUCACAGUGGUCCUGAUGCUGUUUGCCGCCUUCAGUCUCCUGAUGCAUCUCUUCAAGAUGGGUUACUAUGUCAUGAUGAAGGAGUGUAAGCCGGUUGCUAAAGUCCUUGCCCCCUUCAUCGAGGCUCCCUUUCUUGGCCUACAGGUCUGGGCUGAUGGUUACUCUGAGCGCAGAUCUGUUGCUGUGGCUGAACGCGGUGACAGAAGACACCGUUCAUCUGGAGAUAGAGACGGAGAAGGAGGACGGCCGCGCCACGUAUGGCAGCGCAGAUAGCGCUGACUCGGGUAUAUACCGUAGUAAAUCCUUACAUAAAACAGUACAGAAAUGUGUUUUAGUUAUCACAAAGAAAGUAGGUACACUGUGCUUGCCCACUAGUCAGACAAUUUGGAGGACCUAUAACUGAAUUAU
rnacentral:lncRNA from 1 species